UACGUAGGGGGCAAGCGUUGUCCGGAAUUAUUGGACGUAAAGAGCUCGUAGGCGGUUUGUCGCGUCUGCUGUGAAAACUCGGGGCUCAACUCCGAGCUUGCAGUGGGUACGGGCAGACUAGAGUGCGGUAGGGGAGACUGGAAUUCCUGGUGUAGGCGGUGGAAUGCGCAGAUAUCAGGAGGAACACCGGUGGCGAAGGCGGGUCUCUGGGCCGUAACUGACGCUGAGGAGCGAAAGCAUGGGGAGCGAACAGG
rnacentral:rRNA from 1 species